GGGGGUAUAUCUGAGUGUUAGAGUGCUUGCUUAGCAUGCACAAGGUCCUGAGUUCAAUCCCCAGUAUCUCCA
rnacentral:tRNA from 1 species